UGCAGUCGAACGGUGAAGGCGGAGCUUGCUCUGCUGGAUCAGUGGCGAACGGGUGAGUAACACGUGAGCAAUCUGCCCCUGACUCUGGGAUAAGCGCUGGAAACGGCGUCUAAUACUGGAUACGAGCUGCGAAGGCAUCUUCAGCAGCUGGAAAGAACUUCGGUCAGGGAUGAGCUCGCGGCCUAUCAGCUUGUUGGUGAGGUAACGGCUCACCAAGGCGUCGACGGGUAGCCGGCCUGAGAGGGUGACCGGCCACACUGGGACUGAGACACGGCCCAGACUCCUACGGGAGGCAGCAGUGGGGAAUAUUGCACAAUGGGCGAAAGCCUGAUGCAGCAACGCCGCGUGAGGGACGACGGCCUUCGGGUUGUAAACCUCUUUUAGCAGGGAAGAAGCGAAAGUGACGGUACCUGCAGAAAAAGCGCCGGCUAACUACGUGCCAGCAGCCGCGGUAAUACGUAGGGCGCAAGCGUUAUCCGGAAUUAUUGGGCGUAAAGAGCUCGUAGGCGGUUUGUCGCGUCUGCUGUGAAACCCCGAGGCUCAACCUCGGGCCUGCAGUGGGUACGGGCAGACUAGAGUGCGGUAGGGGAGAUUGGAAUUCCUGGUGUAGCGGUGGAAUGCGCAGAUAUCAGGAGGAACACCGAUGGCGAAGGCAGAUCUCUGGGCCGUAACUGACGCUGAGGAGCGAAAGGGUGGGGAGCAAACAGGCUUAGAUACCCUGGUAGUCCACCCCGUAAACGUUGGGAACUAGUUGUGGGGUCCAUUCCACGGAUUCCGUGACGCAGCUAACGCAUUAAGUUCCCCGCCUGGGGAGUACGGCCGCAAGGCUAAAACUCAAAGGAAUUGACGGGGACCCGCACAAGCGGCGGAGCAUGCGGAUUAAUUC
rnacentral:rRNA from 1 species